GCUAGUGCGGUUGUCAAAAACUUCUUGCUUCAGGAGUAGGUUUUUCGAGACAAAAGUUGACCGUAAAAGUUAAGGACAAGUGAUUUCAAAGUUGUGUGAUACUAAAAACGAUUUUAAGAAAGUCUUUGACAAAUUAGAACUGUAGCGGCUGCCAUUCACUUAAAACAUCGCAAUAUGUUUGAUGGAGAAGUACAAGAAAAACCCUUCAUUUCAAAUGAAGUUAUUGAGCAAACAUCCAACACUAAUCUCAGCCCAAUGACUAACCCAAAGGACAUGAAGCAAGCAGAUACCAUACGUCACGGUGAGCUACAUAAGCAUCCUCUGCAACAUGUCUGGACUUUGUGGUAUUUAGAAAAUGAUCGUAACAAGUCUUGGGAUGAGAUGCAGAAUGAGAUUGUUAGUUUUGACACUGUGGAGGAUUUUUGGUCACUUUAUAAUCACAUUAAGCCACCUUCAGAAAUAAAAAUUGGCAGCGAUUAUUCACUAUUUAAGAAAGGAAUUCGUCCAAUGUGGGAGGAUGAAGCCAAUAAAGACGGCGGGCGAUGGGUUAUCACGUUCAACAAAAAUUCUAGUCCGCAAUUGGACUUAAUGUGGUUAGAUUUAGUUUUAUCGUUGAUUGGUGAAACAUUUGAGUUUGCGGAUGAGAUAAAUGGUGCCGUAGUCAAUAUUCGUAGUAAGAGCAAUAAGAUUUCCGUCUGGACUGCAAAUGGUCACAAUGAAAGUGCUGUUCUUGAAAUUGGGCGCAAGUUGCGUGAAGUCUUACGUCUGGGCAUACAAACCUUGCAAUAUCAACUUCAUAUAGACACUAUGUCAAAGCAGGGCGUUAGUGUCAAGCCAGUGUACGUUUUAUAAACUAUAAAUAUGCAACAUAAUCCUUUUCUCAAAAAUAGUAAAAUGCGUCACUAGAAAGGAUGUUGCCAAUUAAAUCGCAUAAUUUUAGAAGAUAUAAGCAAUAAGAAAAGCGUGAAUCAAGAAAAAUUAAGAUUUCAGAAUUUAUAUUGAAGUACGUAUCCGUGUAAAGAUUGGGAUACGAGAUUGACAGCGAAAAAUACUCUUGGGCUCUACAAUCGCAAUAAUUAUUUUAAACACAAUUUCCAUAAUACAUUUAAUACAUUUAAUAUAAUAUGCGAAAGCAUAAAAACUAAUUUAUAUGACACCAAAUUUUAACAGUUCAUUAAACUAACAAAUGCUUUUUAGCAAAUAUAAUAACAAAAAUGGAAUAAAAGAAACAUAAGACUAAAAUGGCUUUAAGUAUGUUUU